CCUACGGGUGGCAGCAGUGAGGAAUAUUGGUCAAUGGGCUUACGCCUGAACCAGCCAAGUCGCGUGAGGGAAGACUGCCCUAUGGGUUGUAAACCUCUUUUGUCAGGGAGCAACGCCGGCUACGUGUAGCCGGACUGAGAGUACCUGAAGAAAAAGCAUCGGCUAACUCCGUGCCAGCAGCCGCGGUAAUACGGAGGAUGCGAGCGUUAUCCGGAUUUAUUGGGUUUAAAGGGUGCGUAGGCGGAAUGCCAAGUCAGCGGUAAAAUCGCGGGGCUCAACCUCGCUCCGCCGUUGAAACUGGCGGUCUUGAGUGGGCGAGAAGUAGGCGGAAUGCGUGGGGGAGCGGUGAAAUGCAUAGAUAACACGCAGAACUCCGAUUGGGAAGGCAGCAUACCGGCGCCCAACUGACGCUGAAGCACGAAAGCGUGGGUAUCGAACAGGAUUAGAUACCCCGGUAGUC
rnacentral:rRNA from 1 species